UUUAAUUGCCCUUGUUGUACC
rnacentral:piRNA from 1 species